UUAGUCAUAUAUAUGUGUAUAUAUAUGUGUGUGUGUGUGUCUGUGUGGCAUAUAUAUAUAUACACACACACACACACAUAUAUAUAUAAAACACAUAUA
rnacentral:miRNA from 1 species